rnacentral:rRNA from 1 species
GAUGAACGCUGGCGGCGUGCCUAAUACAUGCAAGUCGAGCGAACAGACGAGGAGCUUGCUCCUCUGACGUUAGCGGCGGACGGGUGAGUAACACGUGGAUAACCUACCUAUAAGACUGGGAUAACUUCGGGAAACCGGAGCUAAUACCGGAUAAUAUAUUGAACCGCAUGGUUCAAUAGUGAAAGACGGUUUUGCUGUCACUUAUAGAUGGAUCCGCGCCGCAUUAGCUAGUUGGUAAGGUAACGGCUUACCAAGGCAACGAUGCGUAGCCGACCUGAGAGGGUGAUCGGCCACACGGGAACUGAGACACGGUCCAGACUCCUACAGGAGGCAGCAGUAGGGAAUCUUCCGCAAGGGGCGAAAGCCUGACGGAGCAACGCCGCGUGAGUGAUGAAGGUCUUCGGAUCGUAAAACUCUGUUAUUAGGGAAGAACAAAUGUGUAAGUAACUAUGCACGUCUUGACGGUACCUAAUCAGAAAGCCACGGCUAACUACGUG